rnacentral:rRNA from 1 species
GAUGAACGCUGGCGGCGUGCCUAAUACAUGCAAGUCGAGCGAACGGACGAGAAGCUUGCUUCUCUGAUGUUAGCGGCGGACGGGUGAGUAACACGUGGAUAACCUACCUAUAAGACUGGGAUAACUUCGGGAAACCGGAGCUAAUACCGGAUACUAUUUUGAACCGCAUGGUUCAAACGUGAAAGACGGUCUUGCUGUCACUUAUAGAUGGAUCCGCGCUGCAUUAGCUAGUUGGUAAGGUAACGGCUUACCAAGGCAACGAUGCAUAGCCGACCUGAGAGGGUGAUCGGCCACACUGGAACUGAGACACGGUCCAGACUCCUACGGGAGGCAGCAGUAGGGAAUCUUCCGCAAUGGGCGAAAGCCUGACGGAGCAACGCCGCGUGAGUGAUGAAGGUCUUCGGAUCGUAAAACUCUGUUAUUAGGGAAGAACAUAUGUGUAAGUAACUGUGCACAUCUUGACGGUACCUAAUCAGAAAGCCACGGCUAACUACGUG